UGAUAUAUCAGUGUUCGAGAUAUUGAAAUUCAACUGUAUAUAUACACCUAUACUUUUUAAUAUAUUUUUGCCUAUAAGCAAAAUAGUUGUGUUAUUAUACAUAAGGAUUCUUUUCUAUAUUAUCUUAUUAGAUAAGUAGAGUUUAUAUUCCUCCUAGAUUAGGAAAGUUUCACAUGUGAUACAUAAGCACAAACGAAGGCCAAAUAUGGUAAAUCAAAAAUAGCAAUGAGAUUCCUAAUUUAAAAAUAUUUUAUUGAGUAAUCAAAUGGAUUAGGCAACAGGCAAAGCCUAUAUAAACCUUCUCCUAAAAUGAGAUUCCUUGAGUGAUCAACGAUCAACUUUAGUACAAUAGUACAGUUGUUAUAUUGUCUUUGAAAUAUUAAUUUUUACACACACUUAUACAUGUACUGUGAAUUUUGAAUGACAGAAGAUUAAGCUUGUGAAUUUAUAUUACACAUAAAAUAUCAUCCAAUUUUUAAUAAGUAAAGUUUUUUAUUACAUAUUUUUUUUUAUUAUGAGAGAAAAUUCUAAGGCGGCAAGGCCUGUGUACAAUGGAUAACAAUUAGUUUGGUGAUACACAUUUAUAUUGUUACUAUAUUUAGUGAGUCUUGGUGAUAUGAUGUAGAAUAAACAACAUUUACUGUAUUAUUGUGUCCUAUAUAUCACCGCUUAUGGAAGUUAUGGUAUUGUACUGACGUGUAUAAAUUAUAAUAAACAA
rnacentral:sRNA from 1 species